CCUACGGGUGGCAGCAGUGGGGAAUAUUGCACAAUGGGGGAAACCCUGAUGCAGCGACGCCGCGUGAGUGAUGAAGUCACUCGGUAUGGAAAGCUUUAUCUGUAGGGAAGAAAAUGACGGUACCUGUGUAAUAAGCCCCGGCUAACUACGAGCCAGCAGCCGCGGUAAUACGUAGGGGGCAAGCGUAAUCCGGAUUUACUGGGUGUAAAGGGAGCGUAGGCGGCAGAGCAAGUCUGGAGUGAAAGGCGGGGGCUCAACCCCCGGACUGCUAUGGAAACUGUACGGCUGGAGUGCAGGAGAGGUAAGUGGAAUUCGUAGUGUAGCGGUGAAAUGCGUAGAUAUUAGGAAGAACACCGGUGGCGAAGGCAGCUUACUGGACUGUAACUGACGUUGAGGCUCGAAAGCGUGGGUAGCAAACAGGAUUAGAUACCCUAGUAGUC
rnacentral:rRNA from 1 species